CCUACGAGAGGCAGCAGUGGGGAAUAUUGGGCAAUGGGCGCAAGCCUGACCCAGCAACGCCGCGUGAAGGAAGAAGGCUUUCGGGUUGUAAACUUCUUUUGACAGGGGAGAGUAGAAGACGGUACCUGCCUAAUCAGCCACGGCUAACUACUUGCCAGCAGCCGCGGUAAUACGUAGGUGGCAAGCGUUGUCCGGAUUUACUGGGUGUAACGGGCGUGUAGCCGGGUUGACAAGUCAGAUGUGAAAUCCUACGGCGUAACCGCAGAACUGCAUUUGAAACUGGUGAUCUUGAGUACUGGAGAGGCAGACGGAAUUCUUAGUGUAGCGGUGAAAUGCGUAGAUAUUAGGAGGGACACCAGUGGCGAAGGCGGUCUGCUGGACAGCAACUGACGGUGAGGCGCGAAAGCGUGGGGAGCAAACAGGAUUAGAUACCCGGGUAGUC
rnacentral:rRNA from 1 species